AAAGCAUUUCUAUAAAAUUUGAAGACAUCAAGAACAUUCACAAAAUGCAGUUUCUAGUUUAAAAACUUUCUCGGAGUGUUAAAGCUUGCAUUGUAACACUUGAGAUGCUUUACAGCCCAGAGUUACUAAUGAAAUGUUAAAAUAAUCCCUUUGUUGGCAAUUUUUAAAGCUGUAAUCUACUUCAAUGAAGCAUUUGGAAACCGACCUAAGAUGCAUGGAGUCUACAAGUGUUAGCACCAGAUACAGUUGUGGAAAGCACUCUGAGCUGUUUGUUUGUUUGUUUGAAGCUGUUUCUAAGUCACAGGGGUGUAGACAGCAAACUAGAGGAAGCCUUUGAGGCAGUGAAAGCAGAGAGUAAAAAAGAAUUAAAAAAGGACUUUAUUGCAAAGGGAAAUAGAAGAAAAGCUUUGGAAACCCACAAAGGCAGCAAAAAGAUAUGGAAAAUAACAGGGAAAAAAAUACAUAAAACACAAGAUGCAGACAAGCAAGAAGCUGAGCACAGCUUCAGCCCCCAGUUCCUCGUGAGGACCCAGAAGCUGCUUCCAAAGGGAAGCCUGAUGGAGGCCAGGCCUCCCUUCUCAGGACAGGACAGGCUCCCAGGAACAUCAGCUCCAGUGGCCGGUGCAGAUGAGACAGGGAUCACAUCGGUGGAUCAGUCAGCAGGAGAAAGGGGUGAUUUAUAUAAUAAGGACACCCACAUAACCAGACCAGACUUGGAAGUAAUCAAGGACUAUGAACACAGAUAUUAAAGAAAUUGAUACUGGCUGUACAAAGGUUGGAAUGCUGCCUCUGCAUCUCCAGGAAGAGGGAGACCCCAAAUACCUGUAAGAUCCGUGAUCCUGAACUAAAUCAUUACCCAAGUCAGCUUCUCUUCUCAAUUUUCUGCCAGUCAAGGGGAU